CUUGCAAUGCUGAAGCCAGAUCAAAAUGAAAAUCGGAAGCUGCUUUAAUUUCUCUGCUGACCUAUGGGCUCUCCUCAGCUCCUAUGCUGACCCUGUGCUCCGGCUCUCCUUGGCCCCUCCACUGGUGAUGUGCGUCCUGGCGAUUUCUUCAGCCGGCUCUGGAGCCGCUGUGCUCUGUCCUGGGAGGUUUUCGGCCCAGUAGUUGAUGAAGGCUCAUCAGGACAGUUACACAGGCUCUUUCAGAGCCCAGUCCAGCUCUGGCAUGUUUAUUAUGAAACCUCUAAAUUAAAAAAGAAAACCCCAGUGUGGCUGUGGCUUCUGUGCUCCUGGCUGAUCCACCCUCUCCUGGGAGUGACGAGCACCUGAGCCCAGGUGUGUGGGAGUCGCAGGAGGCCAGGUCUGGGAAUGAAAAUGGAAACUCUGA